GAUGAAGAACGUAGCGAAAUGCGAUAAGUAAUGUGAAUUGCAGAAUCCAGUGAAUCAUCGAAUCUUUGAACGCACAUUGCGCCCGCCAGUAUUCUGGCGGGCAUGCCUGUCCGAGCGUCAUUUCAACCAUCAAGCCCCAGGCUUGUGUUGGGGACCUGCGUCCGACGCAGGCCCUGAAAACCAGUGGCGGGCUCGCUGUCCACACCGAGCGUAGUAACUAACCUCGCUACGGGAGCGGCGCGGGCGCCUGCCGUAAAACCCCCAAUUUUCACAAGGUUGACCUCGGAUCAGGUAGGAAUACCCGCUGAACUUAAGCAUAUCAAUAAGCGGAGGC
rnacentral:misc_RNA from 1 species